UACGAAGGGGGCUAGCGUUGCUCGGAAUUACUGGGCGUAAAGCGCACGUAGGCGGCUCUUUAAGUCGGGGGUGAAAUCCUGGAGCUCAACUCCAGAACUGCCUUCGAUACUGUAGAGCUUGAGUUCGGGAGAGGUGAGUGGAACUGCGAGUGUAGAGGUGAAAUUCGUAGAUAUUCGCAAGAACACCAGUGGCGAAGGCGGCUCACUGGCCCGAUACUGACGCUGAGGUGCGAAAGCGUAGGGAGCAAACAGG
rnacentral:rRNA from 1 species